rnacentral:rRNA from 1 species
CGCACAAGCGGUGGAUGAUGUGGAUUAAUUCGAUGCAACGCGAAAAACCUUACCUACCCUUGACAUGUCUGGAAUGCCGAAGAGAUUUGGCAGUGCUCGCAAGAGAACCGGAACACAGGUGCUGCAUGGCUGUCGUCAGCUCGUGUCGUGAGAUGUUGGGUUAAGUCCCGCAACGAGCGCAACCCUUGUCAUUAGUUGCUACGCAAGAGCACUCUAAUGAGACUGCCGGUGACAAACCGGAGGAAGGUGGGGAUGACGUCAAGUCCUCAUGGCCCUUAUGGGUAGGGCUUCACACGUCAUACAAUGGUCGGGACAGAGGGUCGCCAACCCGCGAGGGGGAGCCAAUCUCAGAAACCCGAUCGUAGUCCGGAUCGCAGUCUGCAACUCGACUGCGUGAAGUCGGAAUCGCUAGUAAUCGCGGAUCAGAAUGUCGCGGUGAAUACGUUCCCGGGUCUUGUACACACCGCCCGUCACACCAUGGGAGUGGGUUUCACCAGAAGUAGGUAGCCUAACCGCAAGGAGGGCGCUUACCACGGUGGGAUUCAUGACUGGGGUGAAGUCGUAACAAGGUAACCG